CAGUCGCCGCGGGAAUACGUAGGUGGCAAGCGUUGUCCGGAAUUAUUGGGCGUAAAGGGCUCGCAGGCGGUUUCUUAAGUCUGGUGUGAAAGCCCCCGGCUCAACCGGGGAGGGUCAUUGGAAACUGGGAAACUUGAGUGCAGAAGAGGAGAGUGGAAUUCCACGUGUAGCGGUGAAAUGCGUAGAGAUGUGGAGGAACACCAGUGGCGAAGGCGACUCUCUGGUCUGUAACUGACGCUGAGGAGCGAAAGCGUGGGGAGCGAACAGGAUUAGAUACCCCUGUAGUCCCUGUCUCUUAUAC
rnacentral:rRNA from 1 species